rnacentral:lncRNA from 1 species
GUCCUUACAUUGAUUCUACCAAACGACCUACGUCUUGGGUCUUUGGUCUUGAACUCUUUGGCUCGUUCAUGCAAUACCGUCAUCAGUAUGCUUCUCGCCAUUUGAUUGAUUGUCAUAUUAUAUCGUUGUUUGACACUUGACUUCAUUGUUUGUCAUUCAUCAAAACCUAUACCUGAAAAUCAUGCUCAUACAACCAAAGCACACAUAUCAUAGAUAUACACGAUUUCCAACA